UACGGAGGGAACUAGCGUUGUUCGGAUUUACUGGGCGUAAAGGGCGCGUAGGCGGUUUAUUAAGUUAGAAGUGAAAGCCCAGGGCUUAACCCUGGAACUGCUUCUAAAACUAGUAGACUAGAGUACGGGAGAGGAUAGUGGAAUUCCUAGUGUAGAGGUGAAAUUCUUAGAUAUUAGGAGGAACACCGGUGGCGAAAGCGACUAUCUGGAACGUUACUGACGCUGAGGCGCGAAAGCGUGGGGAGCAAAC
rnacentral:rRNA from 1 species